CGUGCAACCCAUGCUGGAGCAGUUUGUGAAGAACUGUAGCCCAUGGGAAGGACCCACCCUGAAGAAGUUUGUGGAGGAAUAUCUCCUGUGGGAGGGACCCCAUGCUGGAGCAGGGGAAGAACUUCCUGAGGAGGGACCAGG